AGCGAACGCUGGCGGCAGGCUUAACACAUGCAAGUCGAGCGGGCGUAGCAAUACGUCAGCGGCAGACGGGUGAGUAACGCGUGGGAACGUACCUUUUGGUUCGGAACAACACAGGGAAACUUGUGCUAAUACCGGAUAAGCCCUUACGGGGAAAGAUUUAUCGCCGAAAGAUCGGCCCGAGUCUGAUUAGCUAGUUGGUAGGGUAAUGGCCUAGCAAGGCGACGAUCAGUAGCUGGUCUGAGAGGAUGAUCAGCCACAUUGGGACUGAGACACGGCCCAAACUCCUACGGGAGGCAGCAGUGGGGAAUAUUGGACAAUGGGGGCAACCCUGAUCCAGCCAUGCCGCGUGAGUGAUGAAGGCCCUAGGGUUGUAAAGCUCUUUUGUGCGGGAAGAUAAUGACGGUACCGCAAGAAUAAGCCCCGGCUAACUUCGUGCCAGCCGCCGCAGUAA
rnacentral:rRNA from 1 species